GUGGAUGCCUUGGCGAUCACAGGCGAUGAAGGACGUGUAAGCCUGCGAAAAGCGUGGGGAGCUGGCAAUAGAGCAUUG
rnacentral:rRNA from 1 species